AGGAGAGAGGCCAAGAAGCUCUGUCCAUUCAAUAUAAACAGAGAAAUUACAUCAGAAUAGUGAACCGCUCAGUGGCAAAACCAUCGGUUUACAUGCAAAUUUGUUAUGUGAAAAUGCCAAGAAGAAAAAAUAAAGACUUCAAAAAUCUUCAAUCGCAGUAAUUGCUAACUAGAUCUACACUGAAUCAGGGAAACAAGCCCAGGGGCCUUGAGGGUUUGGCCUUGUAGGUUGAAAAUACAAGAAUUAACGAAAAAAAAAAAAGUAAAAAACAAAACCCUUAAGGAUAGAGAGGGUGGGGGGGAAGAGAGAGAACUCACUAGGGCAAAAGCUAACA
rnacentral:misc_RNA from 1 species